rnacentral:rRNA from 1 species
GACGAACGCUGGCGGCGUGCUUAACACAUGCAAGUCGAACGGUAAGGCCCUUCGGGGUACACGAGUGGCGAACGGGUGAGUAACACGUGGGUGAUCUGCCCUGCACUUCGGGAUAAGCCUGGGAAACUGGGUCUAAUACCGGAUAGGACUCCGGACUGCAUGGUCUGGGGUGGAAAGCUUUUUCGGUGUGGGAUGGGCCCGCGGCCUAUCAGCUUGUUGGUGGGGUGAUGGCCUACCAAGGAGACGACGGGUAGCCGGCCUGAGAGGGUGACCGGCCACACUGGGACUGAGAUACGGCCCAGACUCCUACGGGGGGCAGCAGUGGGGAAUAUUGCACAAUGGGCGCAAGCCUGAUGCAGCGACGCCGCGUGAGGGAUGACGGCCUUCGGGUUGUAAACCUCUUUCAGCAUCGACGAAGCGAAAGUGACGGUAGGUGAAGAAGAAGGACCGGCCAACUACGUGCCAGCCGCCGCCGUAA